ACAGCAGAAGCGUGAGCAACAACAACAACAACAAUGACGUUAGUUGUCUCCAUUCAUCGGCACACGGUUUGGAUGAUGAUCACAAUCGUGCAACGUGUGUCUUACGGUGAUUUAAGGAGGAGAUUUGGCUGUUGUUGUACGCUAUACGAGGUUUAUUAGCUUUAAUGACGUUUCCCAUGUGAGCGCGCGCAACUAUGAGUACAUAAUGAGCGAUAUUACCGCAUCACAACGGGUGUAAAUAGUUGAAAGCGGUAGUAAAACAACAACAAUAACACAUGUUUAUAUGCAAACGCGUCAAGCUAGAUACUUAUGACAUGUCUCUAGUUUAUCAACAAGUGUAGCAAUUGUGUUGCAGCAGGUGCUGAUAACAACUACAAUGACAUACCUACACAAAGAUAUAUACAUAUGAAGUUAAGUACUUAUAUAUGAAUAUAUCUAUAUAAAAAGUAACUAAAUAUUAUCUGUAAAUACUUAAAUAAAUAAUAAGAAAUAAAUAACAUUUAAUAGAGA